AUACGGAGGGUGCAGGCGUUACUCGGAAUCACUGGGCGUAAAGCGCGCGCAGGCGGGCUGAUAAGUUGGAUGUGAAAGCCUACGGCUCAACCGUAGAACUGCAUCCAAAACUGUCAGGCUAGAGUGUGGGAGAGGAAGAUGGAAUUAGUUGUGUAGGGGUAAAAUCCGUAGAGAUAACUAGGAAUACCAAAAGCGAAGGCAAUCUUCUGGAACACUACUGACGCUGAGGCGCGAAAGCGUGGGGAGCAAACAGGAUUAGAUACCCUAGUAGUCC
rnacentral:rRNA from 1 species